rnacentral:sRNA from 1 species
GCUUUCAACAUCCCCGUUCCGGGGCGUGGUUUUUCUUCCCAGAACAACUUCGCGGCCGGAACUGAAGGC